rfam:Gorilla gorilla gorilla genomic chromosome, chr8, whole genome shotgun sequence
GCCGGGCGAGGUGGCUCACGCCUGUAAUCCCAACACUUUGGGAGGCUGAGGCGGGUGGAUCACCUGAGGUCAGGAGUUCGAGACCAGCCUGACCAACAUGGUGAAACCCCGUCUCUA